rnacentral:lncRNA from 1 species
UCCAGGAAUAUCUAAGAAGGCCACAUUUGCUUACAAAACCAUCAUCAUCAUGAUCAUCAGAAAUAUUUCACAGACUUAGAGCUGCCCCAGUAUACUAACACACUCAGGUAAAGAGGCCUAAAGAGUGUCCUCCAAAAUCAUCCUAUUCCAGAAAACUUCUGAUCUGCCAAGGGAAAAUUAAGACGAUAAAUUACCCUGCAACUCUCAUCCUCCCUUGCUGUCCUCAGGACCACUCUGCAAAACCUGCAGAUGUUCAAGUCCCUUAUUUAAAAUGCUGCAGAUUUAUAUAGAACCUGCAGGCUUUCUCCUACAUACUUUGGAGAAUCUCCACACUAUUGAUAAUACCUAAUGUAAUGUCAGCGUUACCUAGAUAGUUUUUAAUCUCUAUAAUUUCAAGAAUAGUGAUAAGAAAUGAUAUAUACAUAUAUGCGUGUGUGUUCUGUAAUAUGCACUGUGUGUAUACUUACCUAUCUGUGUGCUCAUGUUUGUGGGUACACAAGUGUACAGGCACAUAUACACAUGUGUGUGCAUAUGUAUGGAGUCCAGACAUGAAUCUCCAGGAUCUGUCCAUCUUUGUUUUGUUUUGGAGGGUAGGGUCUCCCACUGAUCUUGGAUCACUUCAACUAGGAUGGCUGAAUAACAAACUCUAAGGAUUUCCACAGUCUCCAUCUGCCCAGUGCCGUGAUUCUAAGCAUUUUCCACCAUCCAUCCCUGGCUCUUUUUGUAAUGAAGGUUCUAGAAAUAGAACCUGGGUUUUCAUGCUCGCAAAGCAAGCCCUUUACUAACAGCUAUCUCCAUAGCUAUCCAGAUGCAUUAGCAUGCCUCCGCAAUGGCUCCCGGACGCUAUCACUACAGAUGCUGUCCAGCUGUGCCCUCAAGCUUGAUUAAAAGUAGGCCAGAGAACAAGAAAAUGUACUCACAGAAGCCUUUAAACCCAAAAUGAUGAAAACGUUUGCUGAAAAGAUUACUAAAUGAAUAUCUGAAAGUGGUUUUAUCAAUGGAACUGACGACUGUUUAUUUUCCUUUGGUACUAUAUACACGCAGUGGCCUGCUUCUAAGACAGCUCUCACAAUUUCUUCUUUUUGCAUGACUUUUCCAUUUUCUCUAUCUCCUGCUCAAUUUUAAUAAAUAUUUAUUUCCUCAAUAUCAGUUCCAAUAAAUAUUCAUUUGCUCAGUCUCAGUGGAGGCCAAUCACUGGCAGCAAAAAUGUGGCAUUGUAUCUAAUAUAGAGGGACUCACUAUCUAAGCCAGUACUCCAUAGGACAAUAGUGCAUGUGGGCAGAGCUGUAAGCCGCUCCUGUCUGGACUCAGAGGGGGCAACUUAAUGUAUUGGGUCUGUAGUCAGUUGCAGACAAGGUGCUCUGGGAGCUAUUUAGGCAAUUUGGGGCUUGCCUCAGCCAACAUAUUUUAUUAUUCUUUUCUCAUGUCAGUGUUAUAUAUUUUUUUUCUUCUCUAAGCCAAAAUAAUAAUAGUAAUAAUAACCUGCCUGAUUUAUUCACUUCAUAUGUUUUACAACAAGCGAACACAUAAAGAUUGUAAGGUUUGUAAAUAUGGGCCAGAGAGCUGAGAAGUCAUUUCCAUCAGCCUUCUUUGUAGCUGUUUUCUCAUCCAGGCUCUGAAAAGCUAGAAAGAAUUGGUCUAGAGAAUUUCAAUGACUCCCUGUGAAAUGGCCUGGUGGGUUUUUAUAGGCCCAAUUAAGUAAGCAAGAUAUGCUAGCUGUAGAGUGUUAACAUUUGCCAAAAGAAAACAUGAUACCUGCUAUCUGCUGGUAUUUUUUUAUUUUCUGUAAAACUUGUUAAGACUGUCACUGUCCUCUGGCAACAGGCUGCCUUUUUUAUUAGCAGAUAAAGAUUAUCUGCUUAUUUAAUAGCAGCAGGAAUACCCUGUAAGUAAUUCCGGAAAUAGGGUGGCUCUCAAGUUUUCUGCAACUGUCCCUGCCUCUAUUGUUGCCUUCUUCAUGAGCUGUAUAAUGUGUGUUAUUAUUACUCUCCCUCCCUUUUGAAAUUCUGGGCUAAACAAGAAUGUUUACCUAUGAGAGAGUUUGUAGACUCCAGAUGGGAAGAGAGAAUGAGCCCAUGUGUAUAUAUGGGGAAAAUGGUGGGUGAUAUCUCUUUACCCUGACAUGGCAUGUUAGUGACUACUGUCCU